rnacentral:rRNA from 1 species
GUAGAAUUGAUUUUGAAUGAUACUUGUUUGGCGGGAUGCUAGCUUGUAUUAGGUCACUUGAUGAGUUAAAGAGGGAUUCAUGUAUUAAUACACCGGAGGUUCCGGGUGCUAAUAGCCUUCCGUGCAAUUAGGGUUAUUUUAGCCGAGAGUGUGCAUUAGAUUAACCCUAAUCAAGACUCUUUGUUCUCAUUGACAUCGUAGGGGUCUUUUCUGGAUAGGGAAACCCGUACUGGAUUAGGGCUACACUACGGAGGUUCCGGGGUAGUCGACAUCCGAGUCUAGCGGACCAAAACCAAGCCAACCCUAGUUUUAUAAUUAUCAUGGUCUUUCGUAUUUAGUCUCCUCCCGGGGGAAUCCUCGCCGUAGGCCUUCCCCAAUUAUUGGCUUCUUCAUCUCUAACUUUAUUCCGGAUUGAGCUUUAUUUUAUUUGCAUUUCUUUGCUUGUUUUUAUUAUUUUAAUAUUGCUUCAACCUUGUUUCGAUCGACUAGAAAGUGACUCCUAAAAGGAAGUAAUAGUAGAUCUCGGGCCCUAGGGAAUACGACCCUCCUUGUGAGGUUAUUACUUGACGACCCAUGCACUUGCGGUCGGGGAGUCGCGUACUAGCUCUGUAGCUAGUCGCGCGCUCGCUCACCACCUCCCGGUGUGCACCGGCCGUUCCAUCCCCUCUGCCGGUGAUGCGCUCCUGGCCUUAACUAGCUGGGUCGUGCCUCCGGCGCCGUUACUUUGAAGAAAUUAGAGUGUUCAAAGCAAGCCCAUGCUCUGGAUACAUUAGCAUGGUAUAAAAUCAUAGGAUUCCUGUCCUAUUGUGCUGGCCUUUGGGAUCAGAGUAAUGAUUAAGAGGGACAGUUGGGGGCAUUCGUAUUUCAUAGUCAGAGGUGAAAUUCUUGGAUUUAUGAAAGACGAACCACUGCGAAAGCAUUUGCCAAGGAUGUUUUCAUUAAUCAAGAACGAAAGUUGGGGGAUCGAAGACAAUCACAUACCGUCCUAGUCUCAACCAUAAACGAUGCCAACCAAGGAUAGACGGAUGUUGCUUUUAGGAAUCCACCAACACCUUAUGAGAAAUCAAAGUCUUUGGGUUCUGGGGGGAGUAUGGUCGCAAGGCUGAAAUUUAAAGGAAUUGACGAAAGGAGUGGAGCCUGCGGCUUAAUUUGACUCAACACGGGGAAACCUAACAGGUCCAGACAUAGCAAGGAUUGACAGACUGAGACCUCUUUCUUGAUUCUAUGGGUGGUGGUGCAUGGCCAAUAUUAGUUGGUGGAGUGAUUUGUCUAGUUAAUUCUGAUGAUGAAGGUGACCUCAGCCUGCUAACUAGCUAUGUGGAGGAAUCCCUCCGCAGCCAGCUUCUUAGAGGGACUGUGGCCGUUUAGGCCACGGAAGUCUAAGGCAAUAACAGGUCUGUGAUGCCCUCAGAUGUUCUGGGACGCACGCGUGCUACACUGUAUUAUAUUUUGAGACUUCUUCCUUAUUUAUGUUGAACUAGACUCCCAAGGUCGCCGGGUAUCCGGUGAACCUUGGGAUGAACUUGCU